rnacentral:rRNA from 1 species
UUAAAAAGCUCGUAGUUGGAUUUCUGUGUUGGUGAGGCGGCCGGCCACUCGUGGUUGUAGCUAGUUAUCACCGGCGCAUCUUGUCACAAGCCACGCUGGCCUUAACUGGUUGGCGCUGGGGACUGACUCGUUUACUUUGAGAGAAUUAGAGUGUUCAAAGCAGGCUAUCGCCUUGAAUAUGUUAGCAUGGAAUAAUGAUAUAGGACUUUGGUUCUAUUUUGUUGGUUGUUCGAGAACCGAAGUAAUGAUUGAUAGGGACAGUUGGGGGCAUCAGUAUUCUGAAGCGAGAGGUGAAAUUCUUGGACCUUCGGAAGACUAACAACUGCGAAAGCAUUUGCCUAGGAUGUUCUCUUUAAUCAAGAACGAAAGUUGGGGGAUCGAAGACGAUCAGAUACCGUCGUAGUCUCAACUAUAACCUAUGCCAGCUAGGGAUUGGUGGAC